rnacentral:rRNA from 1 species
UGCGCAGGCGGCGUCGCAAGUCAGGCGUGAAAUCCCCGGGCUUAACCUGGGAAUUGCACUUGAAACUACGAUGCUGGAGUAUGGCAGAGGGAGGUGGAAUUCCACGUGUAGCGGUGAAAUGCGUAGAGAUGUGGAGGAACACCGAUGGCGAAGGCAGCCUCCUGGGCCAAUACUGACGCUCAUGCACGAAAGCGUGGGGAGCAAACA